CACGGCUUUAGCUUAUGGAAGCUGUUGCGUUAUCUGCGUGAAGAAUUCCUGGUGGUGCUGGGGACGUCAUCGACCGAACCGGUGAUGCCGCGG
rnacentral:tRNA from 1 species